rnacentral:rRNA from 1 species
UUUAUCGGAGAGUUUGAUCCUGGCUCAGGACGAACGCUGGCGGCGUGCCUAAUACAUGCAAGUCGAGCGGACAGAUGGGAGCUUGCUCCCUGAUGUUAGCGGCGGACGGGUGAGUAACACGUGGGUAACCUGCCUGUAAGACUGGGAUAACUCCGGGAAACCGGGGCUAAUACCGGAUGGUUGUUUGAACCACAUGGUUCAGACAUAAAAGGUGGCUUCGGCUACCACUUACAGAUGGACCCGCGGCGCAUUAGCUAGUUGGUGAGGUAACGGCUCACCAAGGCGACGAUGCGUAGCCGACCUGAGAGGGUGAUCGGCCACACUGGGACUGAGACACGGCCCAGACUCCUACGGGAGGCAGCAGUAGGGAAUCUUCCGCAAUGGACGAAAGUCUGACGGAGCAACGCCGCGUGAGUGAUGAAGGUUUUCGGAUCGUAAAGCUCUGUUGUUAGGGAAGAACAAGUGCCGUUCAAAUAGGGCGGCACCUUGACGGUACCUAACCAGAAAGCCACGGCUAACUACGU